rnacentral:tRNA from 1 species
CUUUUAAAGGAUCAAAGUCUAAUCCGUUGGUCUUAGGAACCAAAAUUCUUGGUGC